rnacentral:rRNA from 1 species
GAUGAACGCUGGCGGCGUGCCUAAUACAUGCAAGUCGAGCGAAUGGAUUAAGAGCUUGCUCUUAUGAAGUUAGCGGCGGACGGGUGAGUAACACGUGGGUAACCUGCCCAUAAGACUGGGAUAACUCCGGGAAACCGGGGCUAAUACCGGAUAACAUUUUGAACCUCAUGGUUCGAAAUUAAAAGGCGGCUUCGGCUGUCACUUAUGGAUGGACCCGCGUCGCAUUAGCUAGUUGGUGAGGUAAGGGCUCACCAAGGCAACGAUGCGUAGCCGACCUGAGAGGGUGUGCGGCCACAAUGGGACUGAGACACGGCCCAGGCUCCUACGGGAGGCAGCAGUAGGGAAUCUUCCGCAAUGGACGAGAGUCUGACGGAGCAACGCCGCGUGAGUGAUGAAGGCUUUCGGGUCGUAAAACUCUGUUGUUAGGGAAGAACAAGUGCUAGUUGAGUAAGCUGGCACCUUGACGGUACCUAACCAGAAAGCCACGGCUAACUACGUGCCAGCAGCCGCCGUAA